rnacentral:rRNA from 1 species
GUGUCAGCCGCCGCGGUAAGACGAACCGUCCGAACGUUAUUCGGAAUUACUGGGCUUAAAGGGUGCGUAGGCGGCGCGGAAAGUAGGGUGUGAAAUCCCUCGGCUCAACCGAGGAACUGCGUCCUAAACUACCGUGCUCGAGGGAGAUAGAGGUGAGCGGAACUUAGGGUGGAGCGGUGAAAUGCGUUGAUAUCCUAAGGAACACCGGUGGCGAAAGCGGCUCACUGGAUCUCUUCUGACGCUGAGGCACGAAAGCUAGGGUAGCGAACGGGAUUAGAAACCCGUGUAGUCC